GACGAACGCUGGCGGCGUGCUUAACACAUGCAAGUCGAGCGAUGAAGUUCCUUCGGGAAUGGAUUAGCGGCGGACGGGUGAGUAACACGUGGGUAACCUGCCUCAUAGAGGGGAAUAGCCUUUCGAAAGGAAGAUUAAUGCCGCAUAAGAUUGUAGUAUCGCAUGAUACAGCAAUUAAAGGAGUAAUCCGCUAUGAGAUGGACCCGCGUCGCAUUAGCUAGUUGGUGAGGUAACGGCUCACCAAGGCGAGGAUGCGUAGCCGAACUGAGAGGGUGUUCGGCCACAUUGGGACUGAGACACGGCCCAGACUCCUACGGGAGGCAGCAGUGGGGAAUAUUGCACAAUGGGGGAAACCCUGAUGCAGCAACGCCGCGUGAGUGAUGACGGUCUUCGGAUUGUAAAACUCUGUCUUCAGGGACGAUAAUGACGGUACCUGAGGAGGAAGCCACGGCUAACUACGUGCCAGCCGCCGCAGUAA
rnacentral:rRNA from 1 species